rnacentral:rRNA from 1 species
GGUUAAGCGACUAAGCGUACACGGUGGAUGCCCUGGCAGUCAGAGGCGAUGAAGGGCGUGCUAAUCUGCGAUAAGCGCCGGUAAGGUGAUAUGAACCGUUAUAACCGGCGAUACCCGAAUGGGGAAACCCAGUGUGAYUCGUCACACUAUCAUUAACUGAAUCCAUAGGUUAAUGAGGCGAACCGGGGGAACUGAAACAUCUAAGUACCCCGAGGAAAAGAAAUCAACCGAGAUUCCCCCAGUAGCGGCGAGCGAACGGGGAGGAGCCCAGAGCCUGAAUCAGCAUGUGUGUUAGUGGAAGCGUCUGGAAAGGCGCGCGAUACAGGGUGACAGCCCCGUACACAAAAGCGCAUGUGCUGUGAGCUCGAUGAGUAGGGCGGGACACGUGGUAUCCUGUCUGAAUAUGGGGGGACCAUCCUCCAAGGCUAAAUACUCCUGACUGACCGAUAGUGAACCAGUACCGUGAGGGAAAGGCGAAAAGAACCCCGGCGAGGGGAGUGAAAAAGAACCUGAAACCGUGUACGUACAAGCAGUGGGAGCUGAAGGUUGGGUAACACUAACUGGAGGACCGAACCGACUAAUGUUGAAAAAUUAGCGGAUGACCUGUGGCUGGGGGUGAAAGGCCAAUCAAACCGGGAGAUAGCUGGUUCUCCCCGAAAGCUAUUUAGGUAGCGCCUCGUGAAUUCAUCUCCGGGGGUAGAGCACUGUUUCGG